rnacentral:rRNA from 2 species
GUGCAAACACGAAAGUGGACGUAUACGGUGUGACGCCUGCCCGGUGCCGGAAGGUUAAUUGAUGGGGUCAGCCGCAAGGCGAAGCUCUUGAUCGAAGCCCCGGUAAACGGCGGCCGUAACUAUAACGGUCCUAAGGUAGCGAAAUUCCUUGUCGGGUAAGUUCCGACCUGCACGAAUGGCGUAAUGAUGGCCAGGCUGUCUCCACCCGAGACUCAGUGAAAUUGAACUCGCUGUGAAGAUGCAGUGUACCCGCGGCAAGACGGAAAGACCCCGUGAACCUUUACUAUAGCUUGACACUGAACCUUGAGCCUUGAUGUGUAGGAUAGGUGGGAGGCUUUGAAGCGUGGACGCCAGUCUGCGUGGAGCCAACCUUGAAAUACCACCCUUUAAUGUUUGAUGUUCUAACGUGGACCCGUGAUCCGGGUUGCGGACAGUGUCUGGUGGGUAGUUUGACUGGGGCGGUCUCCUCCCAAAGCGUAACGGAGGAGCACGAAGGUUAGCUAAUCCUGGUCGGACAUCAGGAGGUUAGUGCAAAGGCAUAAGCUAGCUUGACUGCGAGAGUGACAGCUCGAGCAGGUGCGAAAGCAGGUCUUAGUGAUCCGGUGGUUCUGAAUGGAAGGGCCAUCGCUCAACGGAUAAAAGGUACUCCGGGGAUAACAGGCUGAUACCGCCCAAGAGUUCAUAUCGACGGCGGUGUUUGGCACCUCGAUGUCGGCUCAUCACAUCCUGGGGCUGAAGUAGGUCCCAAGGGUAUGGCUGUUCGCCAUUUAAAGUGGUACGCGAGCUGGGUUUAGAACGUCGUGAGACAGUUCGGUCCCUAUCUGCCGUGGGCGUUGGAAGAUUGAGAGGGGUUGCUCCUAGUACGAGAGGACCGGAGUGAACGCACCACUGGUGUACGGGUUGUGAUGCCAAUUGCAUUGCCCGGUAGCUAAGUGCGGAAGAGAUAACCGCUGAAAGCAUCUAAGCGGGAAACUUGCCUCGAGAUGAGUCUUCCCUGGACACUUGAUGUCCCUGAAGGGCCGUUGAAGACGACGACGUAGAUAGGCUGGGUGUGUAAGCGUAGCGAUACGUUGAGCUAACCAGUACUAAUGACCCGAGAGGCUUAACCUUACAACACCGAAGGUGUUU